UUUUUCCAUCACCUCGGCACUGCUUAGUGCAUUGGCAUCGGGAGUCCAAGUCUCCUGGAUUGCCGCUCGUAGUACAGCUACUGCCAGCAGUUACGUUGCAACCGAAACAAUCUGGAUGAAGAUCCCAGUUGUGAGAGAAACCGCCGGAGAGCAGAGAAAUGUUGCCCUCAUUGCUACCUUCAUAAUCUCUAACAACAUACAAAAAUCCGGUGUUAUAAAAUCGG
rnacentral:lncRNA from 1 species